rnacentral:lncRNA from 1 species
UAGCCACCCACCCCUCCCGACUGCCACCCUUGCAAACUCCAGACUCCAGUACCAAACAGAAACCCAGCUCCUACUUUGUUGCUUUGUUGUUGGGGGGUGAGGGCAUUAGGAAUGGAACCCAGGGCCUUAACUUGCUUGCUAGGCAAUUGUUGCACUAAGCUAUAUCCCCAGCCUGUAAUUGUUUUUGUUGUUGUUUUGGAACUAUAUUCCAUGCUGACAUCAAUCUUCCUGACUCACCUCCUGAUUAGAGGUAAACUAGUUAUUUUGUAGAGUCAAAUCCCCACAAUAAAUAUUUUCUUUUGCCUGUUUAUACUUUCUACUAGUUCUGCUACUCUCGGGUUCCAGAAUGAGGAAAACCUGGUUGCCACAUGUUCAGUUUGCCUAUAAUACAUAGGCCCUAAAUGCCAAGUUUACUGUGUGUCUGGCAGUUGAUAGUGACAAAAGACCAACACAUGAUUCUUGGGCUGUCUAAUUAUCAGAUAGUGUCUCAGUCUGACGAACUCCUGCCCUCUUCCCUUCAUCUCUCAUGUUUUGGGAUGUACCACCACACCCAGAGGUUUUCUUUUCCCCUUCAGUGCUAAGAAUUGAAUCUGGAGUCCCAAGCACACUGGAAAGUUCUUUACCAGUGAACAUCUUCAUCCUCCUGUGAUGUGACAAUUAGGGGAGGGGUUGCAGAAUAUAAUCAAAAGAGUCCUGGAUUCUUACCUGAAGUUUACAGCCGAC